rnacentral:rRNA from 1 species
UACAGAGGUCCCAAGCGUUGUUCGGAUUCACUGGGCGUAAAGGGUGCGUAGGCGGUCGGGUAAGUCUGAUGUGAAAUCUCACAGCUUAACUGUGAAACUGCAUUGGAUACUAUCCGGCUUGAGGAAUGGAGGGGAGACUGGAAUACUUGGUGUAGCAGUGAAAUGCGUAGAUAUCAAGUGGAACACCAGUGGCGAAGGCGAGUCUCUGGACAUUUCCUGACGCUGAGGCACGAAAGCCAGGGGGAGCAAACGGG